GACGAACGCUGGCGGCGUGCUUAACACAUGCAAGUCGAACGGAAAGGCCCUGCUUUUGUGGGGUGCUCGAGUGGCGAACGGGUGAGUAACACGUGAGUAACCUGCCCUUGACUUUGGGAUAACUUCAGGGAACUGGGGCUAAUACCGGAUAGGAGCUCCUGCUGCAUGGUGGGGGUUGGAAAGUUUCGGCGGUUGGGGAUGGACUCGCGGCUUAUCAGCUUGUUGGUGGGGUAGUGGCUUACCAAGGCUUUGACGGGUAGCCGGCCUGAGAGGGUGACCGGCCACAUUGGGACUGAGAUACGGCCCAGACUCCUACGGGAGGCAGCAGUGGGGAAUAUUGCACAAUGGGCGGAAGCCUGAUGCAGCAACGCCGCGUGCGGGAUGACGGCCUUCGGGUUGUAAACCGCUUUCGCCUGUGACGAAGCGUGAGUGACGGUAAUGGGUAAAGAAGCACCGGCUAACUACGUGCCAGCAGCCGCGGUGAUACGUAGGGUGCGAGCGUUGUCCGGAUUUAUUGGGCGUAAAGGGCUCGUAGGUGGUUGAUCGCGUCGGAAGUGUAAUCUUGGGGCUUAACCCUGAGCGUGCUUUCGAUACGGGUUGACUUGAGGAAGGUAGGGGAGAAUGGAAUUCCUGGUGGAGCGGUGGAAUGCGCAGAUAUCAGGAGGAACACCAGUGGCGAAGGCGGUUCUCUGGGCCUUUCCUGACGCUGAGGAGCGAAAGCGUGGGGAGCGAACAGGCUUAGAUACCCUGGUAGUCCACGCUGUAAACGGUGGGUACUAGGUGUGGGGUCCAUUCCACGGGUUCCGUGCCGUAGCUAACGCUUUAAGUACCCCGCCUGGGGAGUACGGCCGCAAGGCUAAAACUCAAAGGAAUUGACGGGGCCCCGCACAAGCGGCGGAGCAUGCGGAUUAAUUCGAUGCAACGCGUAGAACCUUACCUGGGUUUGACAUGGAUCGGGAGCGCUCAGAGAUGGGUGUGCCUCUUUUGGGGUCGGUUCACAGGUGGUGCAUGGCUGUCGUCAGCUCGUGUCGUGAGAUGUUGGGUUAAGUCCCGCAACGAGCGCAACCCUUGUUCACUGUUGCCAGCACGUUAUGGUGGGGACUCAGUGGAGACCGCCGGGGUCAACUCGGAGGAAGGUGGGGAUGACGUCAAGUCAUCAUGCCCCUUAUGUCCAGGGCUUCACGCAUGCUACAAUGGCUGGUACAGAGAGUGGCGAGCCUGUGAGGGUGAGCGAAUCUCGGAAAGCCGGUCUCAGUUCGGAUUGGGGUCUGCAACUCGACCUCAUGAAGUCGGAGUCGCUAGUAAUCGCAGAUCAGCAACGCUGCGGUGAAUACGUUCCCGGG
rnacentral:rRNA from 1 species